AUAUAAAUGAAUACAGGAGGCAGAUAGACAAUCGACAGGUUCACUUUAAAAAGGCACACCGGAUGAGUUAAUUACCUGUCUCUAGUAGCCUUCUGGAAGCCGGAAGUGGACUCUGAGACAGACCGACACAAAACAGGAGAAUAACACAGGCAACGGCUGUAUUAUGGAGGUGAUCAGGCUCCGCUUGUCCCACUUUCCGGAG